CAGUAGCCACGGGAAUACAGAGGGUGCGAGCGUUAAUCGGAUUUACUGGGCGUAAAGCGUGCGUAGGCGGCUUCUUAAGUUGGAUGUGAAAUCCCUGAGCUUAACUUAGGAAUUGCAUUCGAUACUGGGAAGCUAGAGUAUGGGAGAGGAUGGUAGAAUUCCAGGUGUAGCGGUGAAAUGCGUAGAGAUCUGGAGGAAUACCGAUGGCGAAGGCAGCCAUCUGGCCUAAUACUGACGCUGAGGUACGAAAGCAUGGGGAGCAAACAGGAUUAGAUACCCUGUAGUCCCUGUCUCUUAUAAA
rnacentral:rRNA from 1 species